rnacentral:rRNA from 1 species
GACGAACGCUGGCGGCGCGCUUAACACAUGCAAGUCGAACGGAAAGGCCUGCUUUCCCUUGUGGAUUGCGGGUACUCGAGUGGCGAACGGGUGAGUAACACGUGAGUGAUCUGCCCCCAACUUGGGUAUAAGCCUGGGAAACUGGGUCUAAUUCCCGAUAGGACUGCAGGGUGGUGCCUGUGGUGGAAAACGAUUUUCUAGUGGUUGGGGAUGAGCUCGCGGCCUAUCAGCUUGUUGGUGGGGUAAUGGCCUACCAAGGCGGCGACGGGUAGCCGGCCUGGGAGGGUGGACGGCCACAUUGGGACUGAGAUACGGCCCAGACUCCUACGGGAGGCAGCAGUGGGGAAUAUUGCACAAUGGGCGGAAGCCUGAUGCAGCGACGCCGCGUGGGGGAUGACGGGCUUCGGGUUGUAAACUCCUUGCGACCGCGAGGAAGCCACCUGGUUGGAAGGGUGGUGACGGUAGUGGUAGAAGAAGCACCGGCUAACUACGUG